UUGACAGCCCUGGAGACUGAAGUCUCUUCUUCGACCACAAGCCGGGUGUAGCACAGACCGAGGCAAUGAAAACCCCUCCUGCUCUCCCACCGCUGCUCCUCCAAUUUACAGAGGAGCCACUCUUGGAGAGGAUGGGGCCCUGUGGUUCACGCUUGUGUUUAACCCGUGGCCAUU
rnacentral:sRNA from 1 species